GCGCCGAUGGGGUAGUGGUAACCUGGGUCGUUGCCAUUCGAGGUAAAACUCGACCCGCCGGGGGUUCGAUUCCCCCUCGGCGCA
rnacentral:tRNA from 1 species